rnacentral:rRNA from 1 species
AUUGAACGCUGGCGGCAGGCCUAACACAUGCAAGUCGAACGAGUGGCGGACGGGUGAGUAAUGUCUGGGAAACUGCCUGAUGGGGGGGGAUAACUACUGGAAACGGUAGCUAAUACCGCAUACCAUCGGAUGUGCCCAGUUGGGAUUAGCUAGUAGGUGGGGUAAAGGCUCACCUAGGCAACGCUCCCUAGCUGGGCGGAGAGGAUGACCAGCCACACUUGAACGGAGACACGUACCAGACUCCUACGAGAGGCAGCAGUGGGGAAUAUUGCACAAUGGGCGCAAGCAUGAUGCAGCCAUGCCGCGUGUAUGAAGAAGGCCUGCGGGUUGUAAAGUACUUUCAGCGGGGAGGCGUUACCCGCAGAAGAAGCACCGGCUAACUACGUGCCAGCCGCCGCGGUAAUUC